rnacentral:rRNA from 1 species
GUGAAAUUGUUGAAAGGGAAGCGCUUGCAACCAGACUUGCACGUAGUUAAUCAUCCAGGGUUUUCCCCGGUGCACUUGGCUACGUUCAGGCCAGCAUCGGUUUCGGUGGUUGGAUAAAGGCCUAGGGAAUGUGGCUCUCUUCGGGGAGUGUUAUAGCCCUAGGUGCAAUGCAGCCCACCGGGACCGAGGACCGCGCUUCGGCUAGGAUGCUGGCGUAAUGGUUGUAAGCGACCCGUCUUGAAACACGGACCAAGGAGUCUAACAUCUAUGCGAGUGUUUGGGUGUCAAACCCAUACGCGUAAUAAAAGUGAACGGAGGUGAGAACCCUUAAGGGUGCAUCAUCGACCGAUCCUGAUGUCUUCGGAUGGAUUUGAGUAAGAGCAUAGCUGUUGGGACCCGAAAGAUGGUGAACUAUGCGUGAAUAGGGUGAAGCCAGAGGAAACUCUGGUGGAGGCUCGCAGCGGUUCUGACGUGCAAAUCGAUCGUCAAAUUUGCGCAUAGGGGCGAAAGACUAAUCGAACCAUCAAUGUAGUUUGCGCUAGGUGGUUAAGAGGUAGCCUAAAUAGCAUACCUAGUCCUGGUCUGAGGACUACACUAUCAAAUUGUUCGGGGACGUCCUGUUUUAAAUUCUAAACUACCGCAGCCUUCUUGAAAGAGAGGUGCGCACCAGGUUAAUGCCCUCGGGGAUGGUAAUAACGUU